GUCGACAUAGUGGACAUGGCAUCUGCCCGGUAAGCGGAAGGUUGUGGGUUCGAUUCCCGCCCCUGGACA